GUCCAGACUCCUACGGGAGGCAGCAGUGGGGAAUAUUGCACAAUGGGGGAAACCCUGAUGCAGCGACGCCGCGUGAGCGAUGAAGUAUUUCGGUAUGUAAAGCUCUAUCAGCAGGGAAGAAGAUGACGGUACCUGACUAAGAAGCCCCGGCUAACUACGUGCCAGCAGCCGCGGUAAUACGUAGGGGGCAAGCGUUAUCCGGAUUUACUGGGUGUAAAGGGAGCGUAGACGGCGAUGCAAGCCAGAUGUGAAAGCCCGGGGCUCAACCCCGGGACUGCAUUUGGAACUGUGUGGCUGGAGUGUCGGAGAGGCAGGCGGAAUUCCUAGUGUAGCGGUGAAAUGCGUAGAUAUUAGGAGGAACACCAGUGGCGAAGGCGGCCUGCUGGACGAUGACUGACGUUGAGGCUCGAAAGCGUGGGGAGCAAACAGGAUUAGAUACCCCGGUAA
rnacentral:rRNA from 1 species